rnacentral:lncRNA from 1 species
AUGGAAAAAGCAAGAGAGUUCCAGAAAAACAUCUAUUUCUGCUUUAUUGACUAUGCCAAAGCCUUUGACUGUGUGGAUCACAAUCAACUGUGGAAAAUUCUGAAAGAGAUGGGAAUACCAGAUCACCUAACCUGCCUCUUGAGAAAUCUGUAUGCAGGUCAGGAAGCAACAGUUAGAACUAGACAUGGAACAACAGACUGGUUCCAAAUAGGAAAAGGAGUACAUCAAGGCUAUAUAUUGUCACCCUGCUUAUUUAACUUAUAUACAGAGUACAUCAUGAGAAAUGCUGGACUGGAAGAAAUACAAGCAGGAAUCAAGAUUGCUGAGAGAAAUAUCAAUAACCUCAGAUAUGCAGAUGACACCACUCUUAUGGCAGAAAGUGAAGAGGAACUAAAAAGCCUCUUGAACGUGAAAGAGGAGAGUGAAAAAGUUGGCUUAAAGCUCAACAUUCAGAAAAUGAAGGUCAUGGCAUCUGGUCCCAUCACUUCAUGUGAAUUAGACGGGGAAACAAUGGAAACAGUGUCAGACUUUUUUUUGGGGGGGGGGGGGGGGGGCUCCAAAAUCACUGCAGAUGGUGAUUGCAGCCAUGAAAUUAAAAGACGCUUACUUCUUGGAAGAAAAGUUAUGACCAACCUAGAUAGCAUAUUCAAAAACAAAGACAUUACUUUGCUGACUAAGGUCUGUCUAGUCAAGGUUAUUGUUUUUCCUGUGGUCAUGUAUGAAUGUGAGAGUUGGACUGUGAAGAAGGCUGAGUGCCGAAGAAUUGAUGCUUUUGAACUGUGGUGUUGGAGAAGACUCGAGAGUCCUUGGACUGCAAGGAGAUCCAACCAGUCCAUUCUGAACGAGAUGAUCCCUGGGAUUUCUUUAGAAGGAAUGAUGCUAAAGCUGAAACUCCAGUACUUUGGCCACCUCAUGAGAAGAGUUGACUCAUUGGAAAAGACUCUGAUGCUGGGAGGGAUUGGGGGCAGGAGGAGAAGGGGACAGCAGAUGAUGAGAUGGCUGGAUGGCAUCACUGACUCGAUGGACGUGAGUGUGAGUGAACUCCAGGAGUUGGUGAUGAACAAGGAGGCCUGGUGUGUUGCGAUUCAUGGGGUCGCAAAGUGUCUGACACGACUGAGCACCUGA